rnacentral:lncRNA from 1 species
CUUCGGCGUUCUGGCUACAGGUUCGGGGCGCGGGUCUCUUCCGCGGAAACUGACAUUGCGUUUCCGUUGUCGGCCUCCCACUGCAGUAUCACCUUCUCCCCCAAGUGUGACAACCAAAGAUGUCUCCAGAUAUUGCCAGAUGUCCUCUUGGAAGCAAGAUCGCUCCGGGUUGAGAUCCACAGAGCUAAACGUUUUAGAGUACCAACCAUUGUGUGCUGUGAGGUAAAGGUGAGCCAGUCC